UACGAAGGGGGCUAGCGUUGUUCGGAAUCACUGGGCGUAAAGCGCACGUAGGCGGUUGUUCAAGUCGGGUGUGAAAGCCUUGAGCUCAACUCAAGAAAUGCACUCGGUACUGGAUGACUAGAGGACCGGAGAGGAUAGUGGAAUUCCCAGUGUCGUGGUGAAAUACGUAGAGAUUGGGAAGAACACCAGUGGCGAAGGCGGCUAUCUGGACGGUUUCUGACGCUAAGACGCGAAAGCGUGGGGAGCAAACAGG
rnacentral:rRNA from 1 species